rnacentral:rRNA from 1 species
AUACAGAGGGUGCAAGCGUUAGUCGGAAUUACUGGGCGUAAAGCGCGCGUAGGCGGUUUGUUAAGUCGGAUGUGAAAUCCCUGGGCUCAACCUGGGAACUGCAUUCGAAACUGAUUGACUCGAGUAUGGUAGAGGGUGGUGGAAUUCCUAGUGUAGCGGUGAAAUGCGUAGAUAUUAGGGGGAACAUCAGUGGCGAAGGCGACCACCUGGACCAAUACUGACGCUGAGGUGCGAAAGCGUGGGGAGCAAACAGGAUUAGAAACCCUAGUAGUCC